rnacentral:rRNA from 1 species
UACGGAGGGAGCUAGCGUUGUUCGGAAUUACUGGGCGUAAAGCGCGCGUAGGCGGCUUUGUAAGUUAGAGGUGAAAGCCCGGGGCUCAACCCCGGAACUGCCUUUAAAACUGCAUCGCUUGAAUCCGGGAGAGGUGAGUGGAAUUCCGAGUGUAGAGGUGAAAUUCGUAGAUAUUCGGAGGAACACCAGUGGCGAAGGCGGCUCACUGGUCCGGUACUGACGCUGAGGUGCGAAAGCGUGGGGAACAAACAGG